AUUGAACGCUGGCGGCAUGCUUUACACAUGCAAGUCGAACGGUAACAGGUUAAGCUGACGAGUGGCGAACGGGUGAGUAAUGCAUCGGAACGUGCCCGGUCGUGGGGGAUAACGCAGCGAAAGCUGCGCUAAUACCGCAUACGAUCUAAGGAUGAAAGCGGGGGACCGUAAGGCCUCGCGCGAUCGGAGCGGCCGAUGUCAGAUUAGGUAGUUGGUGGGGUAAAGGCUCACCAAGCCAACGAUCUGUAGCCGGUCUGAGAGGACGACCAGCCACACUGGGACUGAGACACGGCCCAGACUCCUACGGGAGGCAGCAGUGGGGAAUUUUGGACAAUGGGCGAAAGCCUGAUCCAGCAAUGCCGCGUGCAGGAAGAAGGCCUUCGGGUUGUAAACUGCUUUUGUACGGAGCGAAAAGGUCUCCUCUAAUACAGGGGGCUCAUGACGGUACUGUAAGAAUAAGCACCGGCUAACUACGUGCCAGCCGCCGCAGUAAUAC
rnacentral:rRNA from 1 species